GUUGACCUCGGAUCAGGUAGGGAUACCCGCUGAACUUAAGCAUAUCAAUAAGCGGAGGAAAAGAAACCAACAGGGAUUGCCUCAGUAACGGCGAGUGAAGCGGCAAGAGCUCAAAUUUGAAAGCUGGCUCCUUCGGGGUCCGCAUUGUAAUUUGCAGAGGAUGCUUCGGGAGCGGCCCCCAUCUAAGUGCCCUGGAACGGGCCGUCAUAGAGGGUGAGAAUCCCGUAUGGGAUGGGGUGCCCGCGACCAUGUGAAGCUCCUUCGACGAGUCGAGUUGUUUGGGAAUGCAGCUCUAAAUGGGUGGUAAAUUUCAUCUAAAGCUAAAUAUUGGCCGGAGACCGAUAGCGCACAAGUAGAGUGAUCGAAAGAUGAAAAGCACUUUGAAAAGAGAGUUAAAAAGCACGUGAAAUUGUUGAAAGGGAAGCGCUUGCGACCAGACUCGCCCGCGGGGUUCAGCCGGUAUUCGUACCGGUGUACUUCCCCGCGGGCGGGCCAGCGUCGGUUUGGGCGGCCGGUCAAAGGCCCUCGGAAUGUAACGCCUCUCGGGGCGUCUUAUAGCCGAGGGUGCCAUGCGGCCAGCCCGGACCGAGGAACGCGCUUCGGCACGGACGCUGGCAUAAUGGUCGUAAGCGACC
rnacentral:rRNA from 1 species